UGGAGCAGAUGCUUUUCUUUCAAGUGAUCUGGAAUAGAUCGAUUAAGAACGAUCUAGAAUUGAUCAUCCGAGGCCGAAGAGUUGAGAAUUAUUACUGACGGGGUGUCCACCAGCCUCUGUCAUAUCGGCAUUUCUAUCGGACGUCCAUCUUCUAUAGUUCGAUGGGAUGUCACAGUCGAGAUCGAGGUACAGAUCCAUAAUAGAAAACAUAAAUUUCACGUAGGAUUUUAUAAAGUUUUUAUCCACCAAUAUUAACUUUUGACAUUUGGAGCUAUUUUAGAUGCAUGAACUAUUGACGGACAUGGA
rnacentral:lncRNA from 1 species